GACCCCAUAGCUCAACAGGAUAGAGCGUUCGUUUCCUAAACGAUUGAUCCCCGUUCGAGUCGGGGUGGGGUCACCA
rnacentral:tRNA from 3 species